rnacentral:rRNA from 1 species
ACAGCUCAAAUUUGAAAUCUGGCCCCCCGGGUCCGAGUUGUAAUUUGCAGAGGAUGCUUUUGGCGCGGUGCCUUCCGAGUUCCCUGGAACGGGACGCCAUAGAGGGUGAGAGCCCCGUACGGUUGGACACCAAGCCUAUGUAAAGCUCCUUCGACGAGUCGAGUAGUUUGGGAAUGCUGCUCAAAAUGGGAGGUAUAUUUCUUCUAAAGCUAAAUACCGGCCAGAGACCGAUAGCGCACAAGUAGAGUGAUCGAAAGAUGAAAAGCACUUUGAAAAGAGGGUUAAACAGCACGUGAAAUUGUUAAAAGGGAAGCGCUUGUGACCAGACUUGCGUCCGGUGAAUCACCCAGCUCUCGCGGCUGGGGCACUUUGCCGGCUCAGGCCAGCAUCAGCUCGCCGUCGGGGACAAAAGCUUCGGGAACGUAGCUCUCUUCGGGGAGUGUUAUAGCCCGUUGCACAAUACCCUUCGGCGGGCUGAG